CCCCGGCUCGGUCCCUGGUCACGCGACCCAGCUCCCUCAGGACCGUUGCCUGGUGGGGCUGGGAACCAGCAGCUUCCACGACCUUCCUCAGGAGCAACGGCCCCCGACCCCCGCCUCCGGCUCAAACCGGAAAUGGGGGGCACACUUCUCUCCACGGCACCGGAAGCACGGGCUUCCGCUUCCCGUCGCCGAUGGCCACGGGGGCUGCCGCCAUAUUGGAUCACGGGGCCGCAGCGGUGGCUGCCGAAGCUGUUCACGUAAACGAUCUGCAUGCGCGCCCGGCCAGAGCGGGGCUUCAUCCUCGCGCUUGAUUCAAGGCCCAGUGAGGGUAAAGAUACUCAUUCCAUCAACUUCAGUGGAUUUUGGAUGAGGCCUAUGAUUUCUAAGUUUAAAAAGCCAUUUUAAUAGCAUCUGGACUGUCAAAAUAAACAAUGGGUUGAAAG